rnacentral:lncRNA from 1 species
AGUUAGUUUCAGAUUUUAUUGUUUAGUUAAUAGAAGCUCCCAAAAUCACAAACAUGAUUUCUAUUCAGUUGUAAUUUUUUUAUACGGCUGAAAUUACAAACACUGGAAAGAAGAAAAACAAAACACAAGCUAUCUACUCCUUAAAAAAUAACUACUCCAAAGCGCAUCAGCCAAAGAAGGCUUCAUUAAGCCUGGUGCACAGAAUGUAGUUGUCUCUGCUACAUCAGGCAAAGAACAUAUGAAGAUGGAGGUGUAACUUCAACUAGCUAUUUUCUCAUUACCCUCUUACACAUUAGAAAUUUGUGCAUAUAAAUUUUUGUUCAAAUUAAUGGUAAAUUGGUUACUAGGGUCAUGAUGACAAAAUAAUUGAACAUCUAUAGUUAUUAUAAAAUGCUAAUAUUGUACUGUGACAUGCGACUCUUUUACAAGGGAUGCUAUCAGAAACCUCAAAUAAAGCAUAGACAUACGACUCUUUUUGCAUGACUUAUUACUUGGCAUUAACCGUUUCACACUGUUUUGCUCAUGCUUUCAAUAAUGAAACUCAUGUCAUUACAAACUCACAUGUUGAAUUAUUCAUUCAUAUCUUAUAAAUCUGAAUUUUUCUUUGUAUAGUUUUGAACUCAGUUGGACAAAGCAACCUUGCUGGGUGACAUGAUUAUACAUUUGAAAGAGCUGAAAACAAAUGCAGCACAAGCUAGUGAAGGCCUAAUGAUACCAAAGAACAAUGAUAAAAUAAGAGUCGAAGAAGGAGGAUUUCUACAUUCAGUUCUUUAUCUAUAAGAGAUUUCUUAUAAGAACUUUUCUUUUUAAAUGUGUAAUUUAAAUCUCCAUAUGCAUAGCAUAUAUCUAAAUAUGAUGAGGGAGUGAGUGAGAUUAGCAAAUAGCAAUUUCACUUGUUAGAGAAGCUGUACAUUCUGAAAAUCAUGUGAAUCUGGUUGUACAUGUAUCAGAAGCAUAAUAGCAACUUUACUCAGGUUAUGCGCACUUGCUGUUGUUGAGUCAUUCAGCAUUGCUACUCAGGAUUACU